CGACUUUUAUUACUUUUGUAUUCCCCUUCAAAAUUUUAGACUAAAAUUACUCAUUCCCUCCAAUUUUUUCCGUCUAAGUUGGGGAAACUUAAAAAAAAAAUACUUCAAACAAUUAAAAUCUCUCAUCCCCUGUAAAGUUCUCAUUGUUGUUGCCCUAUCGCGGAGUCGCCGCCUAUCGCCGAUCCUCACCAUAGCGCCACUAACCUCAGGCUGAAAAUAGCAUAGACCCUACACGAACACAAGUUUUUAUUUUAACUCAUAAACAACGUAAAGAUGGUCGACCACUUGAUGAGGAGUCUUCAAGGACAAUCGUAAGAUUUUUCUUCUCUAUCUUUUAAUUUUUGAAUUUCAUCUAUUUUAGUUGAAUUCAGGUUCAUCGAUUUUUCCUUACAGUGUUUCUUGAAAAGGAGAUGUAUAUUUCCAAGUGUUGAGAAAUAAAAAAAGUGGGUAUGUUCGGGGUCUGUGAAUUGGUCCAACUCUUUCGAUACUGUGGAGUGAUAAAUCUUCCAUAGAUAAUAUUGUUCCAGAGAAUUCGUCUAAUGACGUAAGACGGAUAGAACAAAAGAUAAUAGAGUUAACAGAGUUAAAUGGAAAACAAAAUGAAGAAAUGAGUUUGAUGAAACAAUAAUUAUUCUGGAUGAGACAAGUCAUGUGCAAAAUUGCUCCUAAUGAGUUAUCAUCCCAAAAUAUCAAUCAAUUCUCAACUGAACAUGUAACUCAACUUCCAAAGAUUAAGAUAUUUUUCACAAAUUUUUCGUUAUGCAUUUGUUUAACAACUAGCUUGAAGUCUGCUCCUGGGUAAUUUCUUUUGAGACUGGAAUAGUACUUAUUUUGUUGCAAUUUUUAAAUUUUUUUGUCAGUUGAAUUGGUUGAAGUUAUGUCGAAAAUCUUAUUUUGUGUAGGUUUUCUAAUUUUUGGCAUACUUAUUGUAUAAGAGUGAUUAUUUUUGCCCAAACAUUAAUAAAUCUUAUUACUUUAUCAAACACAAGGUAUACUCUUGAAUGUGUAUCAAAUAAUGCAUGCGGAUGGUAUAAGCAAAUUCAAUUUUUCCUCACAGUAAUAAAGACUUCACCUAGGCAAGCAACUCUUUGAAUGAACUUGCACUUAGAUGCUCGGUCUCUGUGUACCUUUUAUGUCAUUCCUGGCCACCUCAAAUACUUGUGUACGAUGAUUCAUCUACUUCUCUUGACUAAACCAUAGCCCCAUCUCAAAUAUUUUUCUACUUGUUUGUAUUGGAUAACAUGUCAAUCUAUUUGUAGCUAUUUCAUGUGUUAUUAGAAUCUUGAUUUUAAGAGUC